GUGCUUGGUCUUGCUCUACGAGAGUGAGCUCUCAUAUUUUCCUGCAUCUACAUCUGUUGCAGGGUUUCUUUUCUACGGUUGGUGUCAGCAGUCAGCUCAUCUCCUGGUUCAUCGUCCAGUAUUUGCACUCCUCUGAUCAACUUGCUAAGGAUUUCCUAAUGGAUCCUGUACACAUUCCACCAAGGGUUAUUUUGGAUGCUAUGCUGAACACACUCUAUAGCUCCCAAAAGCUGUGUACUACACCCAGCCUACAGGAGACAUUGGUUUAUUUGCAUAUGAAAUCACCAGAAUUUUCGCCAUGGCUCUGGUUCUUGACAUGGAUAACUAUUGAUGGUGAAAAGAUUGUGGUUUUUUAUACUGGUAUAGGGGGAGUAUAAUACAAAUGGUCCUUCAAAUCCAGUUGGAAGCUCCUCCCUGUAAUUGAUGAAGGCAGGAUUUACUAUUUCUAGGGAGUAAGAGGUUUAUUUGUUGAACCAUGAUAUC